rnacentral:snoRNA from 1 species
CUACAGUGAUGUUGUAUUUGAACUCUCUUACUGAACAUUUUGUGGAAACGUCUAACAUUCUGAGUAGC